CCCUCCCUUCACAGGGUGUUUCGAACUAACCGUUUUUCUGGCAGAGCCGGUCACCAUAGAGGCCGAGCUACUGGCAGGUCUGCCUUCAACGGCUACAGGCCUCGACCAAGUGAACCUUGGGACUCUGGUGAUGCCCGUCCCUAUCAUAGACAACUGUUUACCAACAGAGGAUCAAUCAGAGGACGUGGCUCUGCUUCUCUCCGGGGUCGAUCUGCUCAAGGUAAUGCACCUACCUUAUU